AUCCCCAACAAUGAACUUCCAGUACACCCAAGUCUUCUUCAAAGCGGCCAAGACUGAAAACUGGGGUUGUGUUCGCAGAGGGAUGGCAGCAUCUGGGCCCCGUGGGACCGGCAGCAGCCGCGGAGGCACCGCCGCAGCCCGCCCGGCUCCCCGAAAGACAAACAAAGUCAGGAGAGGAGCCAGGACAAGGCUGCAUUUCCUGCUCUGUGAUUCUCCCCAGGAACCAACCUGGAACAGCUCAGCAGCACUGAGAUACGGACUGAAGCGGCGAUGGAAGAGGAAACGGCGCCAGCCAUUCAGAGGAUGUGUGCUCUGAUUCAGGGGCCGGGGUUUUGUGCCGUCACAAGUGAGGGCAUGGCAACACAUGGACACGAGCUGGAGUGCAAAACAGCACAAGAGAAUGGCUGGAGAACCUGGUAAUCCUGCCCGGGAAGAAAAACUGCCAAGGAGGACUCAAUGGUGAGACCACCACACGGUGCAGAAUAUAGAAUCAUAGAACCAUUUUGGCUGGAAAAGACCCUCAAGAUCAAGGGCCCCCAAGGAGCCCCUACUCCAGCUUCCCAAGUUCAAAUCUCUGCAUCCACCCUCAUCUUCCUCACCAGCCCACCUGCAGCUGUACCUGGAAUGACCCAUCACUCAGCUCAACAGGCAUCACCUGCCUGCUCCAGGAGGUCCCCUCAAGCUGAGGACACUGAGAAGUGCACAGAUUUUAUUGAUGAGUUUUUUUUAACUCUGCAGGAAGAGUUGAAGGUUGAUGGGGCAGCUCUUAACCCCGACAGCCCCCAGCAUGGGGGUCACCGAACCUGCAGCUCUCCAUAUGCUCAUGCCAGCUCCCUGAGGCUGACAGCCACAUCCCCAUUGAGUUUAACGGUGUUAGAUCCAUGGACACAUCCCCGUUGAGUUUACCUGUGUUAGAUCCAUGGACACAUCCCCGUUGAGUUUAACACACAUUAGAUGGGAGACUGAGUAAACUUUUUUUUUUUUUGGUCUAAUACUCUCUUAGCAUUUAAAAAUAGAGCUGUUACUAAGCAAUGGCAGUAAGUAGAAAGCAAAGCCUAUUGAGGAUGGUUUCUGUGAACAGGUAUUUUUCCCAGCCUAAGUACUGUAAACACAGUGGGCUGACAAAUUCUGAAUCAGCGCCCUCCCUCCCCAGCUGCUGCCUCUCCCAUUGUCCCCAGAACAAUAGCAGCCACCACCAGGACCUGUUUAUUUUCACUCUGGCUUUCAACACCUUGCUUUGCAGGUCAGAAUUUCAAGUCUUUCCACACAUUUUCACAUCUUAAAGAAAAAAAAAAAAAAGUGGGAUGAUAUUGCCAUAUAGUGGUGUAACCACAGGGGGCAAGAGCUGUGAGAAAUGUCCAUGGGUCUCGGGUUGGAAAGUCAAGUGCAGCCCUGAGCCCCCAUCUCCCAUCUCCUGAUCUUGAGGGUCUCUUCCAACCAAAAUCAUUCCAUGAUUCUAUGACACUGACAUUAAACCCAGUGACCUGCAGCAGGUCAGGGAGAAAAGUCACAUCAUGAGCAGUCCUUUGCUGCCAGGAGUCUCACAGGCUCAGCUGAAUAUUUUUCAUUGCUGUUUCAUCUCUCUUUUCUUUUUUUCGGCUGCCGUUUCUGUUCUCACUUUAAGGAGAUGAGCCAGGUGGGAGAUCCAGCCAGGAGCUGCUGCAUAGGCUGCACCUUUGCAGCACUUACUGUCCCACAUGGACCCCAAACUAACUUCAAACUGAAUUUUUUAGUCCUUAACAUUAGUUACCUCAUUACUGUCUCAUGGUUAUUUGCUCAAGAGAUCGUAUUUGUUUCAGAACCUCCUUUAAGGGAAGUUUAGCGAGGUUGGGUCCACAUUCAAUAGUGCCAGGGUGGCUGCAGGCAGCUCCCGCCUGUGGUAAUCACAGAAUCCCAGAAUCCCAGGUUGGAAGGGACCUCGAGGAUCACCUGGCCCAACCUUUCUUGGCACAAGCCUGGUCUAGACAAGCUGGCCCAGCACCCUGACCAGCUGAAUUCCAAUGUUGGGGAAUCCACCACUUCCCUGGGGAGAUUAUUCCAGUGGCUGAUUUUUCUUAUUGGGAAAAUUUUCCCUCUUGUUUCCAAUCAGAAUGUCCCCAAGAUUAACUUGUACCCAUUGCCCCUUGUCUUUUCCAUGGGACUCCUUGUAAAAAGGGAGUUUCCAUCUGCUUUGGAGCCACCCUUGAAAUACUGGAAGAGGGCGAUGAGGUCUCCCCUACGCCAUCUUUUCUCUAGGCUGAACAAGAAGUGUGCUACAACCAAAAGUGGCCACAGUGAUGCUUUGCUUCCAGUGGGAUGUGUUGGGAGAUGUAUCUCCUGGGUGUAGACUUUGCUCUCAGCUUUAAUGACAGAGAUCAAAACUAUUUUUAUUGAUCUCAGCAGGGCUACUUCAGUUGUAAGCUCUAAUUCAAGGCCAGGCUGGAUGGGGCUCUGAGCAACCUGAGCUGGGGAAGAUGUCCCUGCUCAUGGCAGGGGUGGCACUGGGGGAGCUGGGAAGGUCCUUUCAACACAAACCUUCUGUGAUUCUAUGACCUGACCCACCCUGCACCAUCCCCUUUGCUAUUCAGGAGAGCGCACACAACAUUUUCUCACUGCAGUUGCAGAAUGGGCAGAUUUUUCAGCUCAAUUGUUUCCACGUAUGAAAUCAGUCUAAAUUUCCAUCAUUCAGAUAGUGCUGCUGAAUAAGAAAAAUCAGGACAAAAGGGAAAAAAUCAACAAGAGCUGGAGAUGGAAAGGCACCGUUGUCUGCAACUCAGUGAACAGAACUUUCUUUUGCAGCCCCCACAGCUGCAGUGGGAUAGGGAGGAGAAUGGGACGGGUGGCUCAGGGUCAGCACAGCUCUGGUCCCAUGCUGGCAGCUCGAGGGCCUUGCCUUUCCCAUGUGACAUUGCAAUCAAGUGUAUUUAAUGACUAACAGUGGUGGAUAAACAAAGCAGAAGCGUUCAGGUACUGUUUGAAUAGAAAAAGCCCAACCUGACAUACUGAAAGUGAAAUUUUAAAUAAGAGCUUUAUAAUUACUGUGGCCAGUAAAGAAGUGACUUGCUGUGAGAAAUAGCAAAAUCCUUAUUAGGACGUAUGAGAGAUCUGCAUGGGAACCUGCCCAUGGACAGGGAUCGCCUUACGAGCAGGAGUUACAGAUAUUUAUUUCAGCAUCAUGCAACUUCCACCUCCCGCAGCCGUGCCCCGCUGGUCCAGCGCCCAGUGCAAAAUCCAGCGUGGUCGUAUCACCUUUCUCAAAUACUGUUAUACCAGCUUGACACUAAAACUUUCUGUAUAUUACCAAUACUAUUAUAAUGCAACAUGAGCUGCUGUAAAAACUGCGAAAACGCAUCAACUCCAGCGUGGAUUUUAAAGCCAUUUUCCACAGACAGGAGCUCCAAGAGCUCCCCAGCAUCGCACCAUCACCAGGAACUGCAGUUCCUCAGGGCAAUGUCCCCAGGCUGGAAUGGCAUCCGUGCUUCUACAGGCAUUUGAAAGUGGAAGGCACUUUUAUUCAGCUUUUGCAGCUCUCAUACCUGUUCCCUGGUAAGGGCUCUUUGAUGUGAAUUCAUCAAUACCUGCAUUCAAAUUGGAUGCAACCUUCCUGCGAUUUUCUCAAAAGGAGAACAGCAGAUUGAAAAAACUAAAGACCCAUCAUUACUAUGCUGACUGCUUUCACACUGUUAAAUUAAAAAGAAAUAACCUGUUCCUGGGGACUGGAAUAACCAGCAGUUUCAGUGUGUCCUGUGACACGGGCGCUGCUGGUGAUGCUGCGCCCCAGCUUCUUGUUGGGUGGGAUGAGCAGCAGGAUGGGGCAGAAUGUGAUUUACUCACAUGCUGAUCAAAGCAUUAAAAGCUUGGUGAGGUGUCCAAGUUUUAACAAACUAUUUACAGUUAUUUUACUUCUUACAACGGGAAAAAAACAUAAGAUUUAUUAUUGCAUACACUAAUUACUUUUGCUAAGUGUCAAACCCGCACAAUGUAAUGCUAUGUUUUCAUAUAUGAAAGACAUUAAUUGCCAGCAAACAGUAUGCCAUGACUAAUUUAUCUUUUUUUCUAAACAAGAAGAAAUCAAUAUUAAGUAUUUGGCACCACAUAUCUGAAGUCGAUGUUUCCCCACUGAGCUGAACUGGUUCAGGACUCAGGCUUAGCAAUUGCAUUAUUGUUAUCAAAAACUGUUACUGGCUCUGUGAAUCACGUUACUGUCGGGUUUCUGCGUAUGAAUUAAUACAAUAACAACACGCAGUGCCCAGGAGAGUGGGGGCUAGAUGUGGGAUGCAGGAUGCGGGAUGCAGGAUGUGGGAUGCGGAACGUAGAAGGCGGGAUGCAGGAUGUGGGAUGCAGGAUGCGGGAUGUGGGAUGCAGGAUGCGGGAUGUGGGAUGCGGGAUGUGGGAUGCGGCCGUGCUGGCGGUGAGGUGCUGAGCCCCGCGGUACUGUGGGACCCAGGGCAGAGUGGAAGCGAUGCCUUUGCUUCUCUUUGCUGUUCAACAAGUACAAUUGUUGAAAUCAGUAAGUAUUAAAUGAAAAGUAAGAGGUCAGCUUGACUGCAAUGGCAGAGAGUAAGGCAAGAGGAAAAGUAAUCACUUACUUUGUUCCUGCUUAUGAGCUAUGGCUUCCCUAAUUCUUGACUCUUCUUCUGGCAACACAUUAAAUAAAGCUUUGUGCCCGGUCACUUUGGGAAUUUAAUUGCAUAUUUCAAGUGUCCAUGCGAAUUUCUAAAUAAUUCAAGUAAAAAACAAUGGAGAAAAAACAGCCUUUGUAGCGCAAAGCAUUGGGCGCAGCUCAAUGCAGCCCCUCAGUCGGAGCCAAGGGAAAACCCUGCAGGAACAGAGUUUGCUUUAAUAAAGGCACUGCAAACUGGAGUGAUAUUUUUCUGCUACAUUAGAAUAAGUUAUAACACUUGUUACAAGAAAAGCAGCCACCUGUGUAUAGAAUACAGUAAUAAAAAAAUAAAGUAUCUCAUUGGAUCAAAUCUCUUGCCAACAUUACAUAUUCAAAUUUUAUUUAAGGAUGUUUCUGUGCAAGCUCCACAAACCAAACCCCAGCAUGUUCCUGUGAGCCCCAUGCUACCCCAUGCAUGUCCCCAUCCUCUGUAUCGAGAGGCCCAAAACUGAGUGCAUGAGGAUGCUUUUUUGUCUGCAGCCACACAGAGCAGUGGGAGCCCUUUGCCUGCGACGGCUUUUCCAGUGGUUCCCUUGUUACGGAUGCUGUGGGGAGCAGAGCAUCCCCAAACUGAGGAAAAUCACCAUAAAUCCAGCUUUCACCCAAGCUUCUUGUGCAAGUAACUGCUAAUGAUCAUCUCCAGUGAAGGCUGCAGUGUGCAAGUAGCACUUCAUACCUCGUAAAAUCAAAGUCUCGCUUGGUUUAACAGCGUCAUUUUUUAUAAACUGUAAACUACCACACUUGUGCCAUACAGCCCACCCGGCCGGCCCCGCUGGGCCCUGCUAUUGAAAGACGGGCAGCUGGGAAUGGGAAAACCCCAGUUCUGCAGUGGGUGGCACUUUUGGGACACCACAAACACAAAAACCUUCUGGGAAGUGGCUGGGUUUCAGUCUCUGAAGCACUUUUGGAAAGUCAUGGCUAUAGGCAGUGAAGAGGAGCAUCAGCUGAGAACAGAGUUGAGAGAAUAUUUAAUAUCACAAGUUGGCACCAAAAGCUGCUCAGACUUGAAGGAUUCCUCUUCCACAAC